CGUUUGCCGAACGGUGGCCGAAGCCGCGGAGCGGCGGGUGGCUGACGGGGCACGUGCAGCCGCGCUGCCCGGCAAUUCAUCCCGCGCCGCCUCUGCCGCGUCCCCGGGCCGGGUCAGGGCGCUGAAGCCGCAGCGCUGCGAUGUGUCCGCCCGCGGGCGCAUCUCCGGCCCCUGCGCAGCGAUGGAACGGGGGAUCCAGGGCGGAAACUCAGGGCCCAUCCCGCUGCUGGUUUUGCUCGCAGGGCUCACUCAGCGAAUAGGCUCGAGCGUGAGCGCGCGACUAACGGAGACGGCGCGUUGCAGUGCAAAAAUGCACGAUAAAUGAAAAGCAAGAGAUCCAGGUCCUGUCGUAGCAGAUUAGCUACAGAGUUUUGUACUGAGGUGACGGAUGCUGAGCAAGGACAGAGCCACAGAGGUCAGAAUACCACAAGUCCAGAGGAAGUCUGGAAGUGUUUCUGCUUUCCACUCCGUACCAGGGAGCCAUGUAGUAACCACUAAGUUUUGUCUUCCAUCUGUUUGCAGGCAGAGGCGGGGAGAGAAAUCAUGAGAUAGAGAUUUAUCCCUGUUGGCCUGAGAAUGAAACUAAGUCCUGGCUGAAAUCCCUCUUUGUUGAAGAAGUCGCUGCAGGAGAGAAGUAUUCAAAUAAAAAGAUAAGUUUUAGAAAUUUUAUUUAAGCUAAAACAGCCUCCUUGAAAGUUUUAUGCAUCAAAGAAUAGAGAAAAAGAGCCUAACACUGAGAUCCCCCUGGCUCACAGGGACACUGCAGCCAUCCGAGCUCAGCAUUGCAGGGGUAGCUGUUCUUGCAGCCUGACAUACGCACCAGAGAAUUACCAGGUCUGACCUAGCCCAAUAGUUGCAGCAUUCUUCUCCCACCACCACUACAAAAUGAGUUACUGAUUGGACCCACAUCAGGCAGUUGUCUGUUUUUCUUGUGGUGGAGCCAAGAUGGAAGGGGAUACUGACAUUUCUCUUAGGGACUGACUUGCAGAUGUCAUUCGCAUGAAAAUUCACCCAUCCAAACUUUACUCCCAUUUCUACUUUGUGCUGCUUCCUGUUAAAUGUCUCCAAAAUAGUGAUGAUGGUUUCAUCUUGCUGUGUUCAUCUUGGCCAGGAGAGCUGGUUUUAUCACAUCUGUAUUUUAACCACAGCCCCAGCUGAAACUAAAAUAUAUUUAAAAAGUAAAAGUAAAGCUGGAUUAACAGCAGUGGAGAUAGAUUUGUGCAAACCCAGUGCAGCUGAAAUUAGAAUCAGGCUUGCUAUGUUUUAUAACAAAGGUAAACGUGUCCUCUUUUUUCAUGGUGCUGGCAAACAAAACAUGUCUGACUCCAUUGGUCAGGCAAAGCAAUUACAUCUCUGAGGUGCUCUGAGAAGAGGCAGGCAAGAAAUGAAUAUGCUGAAGGCAGUUCAAAUUCCUUGAUGUUGAUAUGCAUUGCUGGGCAGCAAAAUGGAUACAUUUUCCUAUGGAUAAAGAACAAAGAAAGAAAGACAGUAAAAAGAGGAAUCUCUCAGCAGAUCCAGGACCAGCACGUCACUCCCUUCCCCACAUUUUAUGAGUGGUUUUGCUCAGUCUGUUUUCACUGUCCUACAUAAUUUCCCCUUUGAAAGUACUGCCAAAUUAUCCUACAGCUGUUAAGGACUAGUGGGCUAUCCCUUCAAGAGAAAGGUUAACAGAGAAUAUCCGUUUAUGUUGCUCACUAAUUAUACCCAAGACAAAAGUAAGCACGACUUAUGAUAAAAAACACCCUCACCUGUAUUACCAACAUCUAUCACCAGGACACAUCCUGACCUUCAGUUCUUUGCAGAUGGUCCUGGAAUGAGCUGUUCCCUGAACUCACUUUCAGUUCCUCACAUAAAGCCCACAUCUCUUUAAGAAGGCCAGAACCCAAACUCAGCUGCACUGGAUGAACCUGGAAGAAGUAAAGUGCAAAAGGCAGACCUUGGCCAGAGUACAUCCCACCACAUGCACUCAGUGUUAGGCCUAUAGUGCACCCAGGGAGAGGGAAGAAGAACAAGUUGGUCCAAUUUCAGCCCACGUGGUGGAUUCCUGUUUCCCAGGGAAAUUCUCAUCGUAUCCGAAUAGAUUUUCUUCCUGGCUGAAAUGUGGUGUGCACAGCUGCUAAGGGUCUGCUCUGCUGGGCUGUGAAAGGUCUCUGCAGCAAACCUCCAAACAAGCAAGGUGUGCUGGCAGGGUUAUGCUCCCAAGAUGCUGUAACUUUCGUUGUAUAGUAUUGUUAUAGUGUUCUUUUCUUUCUCUGUGAUGACAAUAGUACUUGAAGUCUCUGAACUGUCCCUGAAUGUCAUCCAGAGUUAAAUUCAGAACCUUGUGUCAGAAGCUGGAAGAGGAAGCCACAGGUAUUUCAGGAUACUGUAAUGUCUGUGCCUGGUUCUGCAUUGCUAUCUUCUGCAGAUAGAUGUGCAAAACAGGAAGCGGAGGACUGUGCUCCAUUCCACUCUGCCAUGAAUAACCGCUCCCUGAACGGGUGAGGCAAUACAAGUCGUGCUACUAAACCUCUAACAGUUUCAGAAGAAUAGUUUGGAUGGAGGUGGGGUAUUAUGUGCCCUUAUAGGAUUACAGACACUAUAUUAACAUUAAAGUUUCAUCUUUGUACUGUAUGUUUACAUCCUCUUUUGUUGAGUCUGAAGGGGCUUUUCCUCAUUUCCAGCUUGGUUCAAUCAUCUCAGCUGCCAUGACUUCUAAGCCAAGGUCCUGUGUUACCGUACCAAAGGCAGACAGCAGCAAAAGGAAUCAGACAGAUUCAUCACACCACAGGCUCAUUCCUGUUGUGCACCACAGCAUGCCACUGUGCUGAGCAUCACCACUCUAUGAAUUUUAGUAAGCAUGAAAAAUAAAGAGCAGAGAGACAAACAGGUAAGACACGUGCUUCCUUGCCUGAGAGGCUGGAGCCCAAGGCCCAGAUUGCAGUAUUUUGAUAUGGGCACUUUGUAGAGCAUGAACAAGUUAUGAACAUCAAAUGGUUGUGGGCUUUCUGAACAAAGUGAGGUGCUUUGAACUGGAAAAUUGUAGAAAGCAGUAUUCUGGUCAUUUUCCUAAGAAAGCAUGAGUGUUGUAUCCAUUCAUGAUAAACUUUGAAUGUCUGAGUUUGAAAUCUAUCUGCACCCCAGGUGUGCUAACGCCUUGAUCACAAUAUAUAAGAAUCAUAGAAUGGCCUGGGUUGAAAAGGACCACAGUGAUCAUCGAGUUUCAACCCCCCUGCUUUGUGCAGGGUCACCAACCACCGGACCAGGCUGCCCGGAGCCACAGCCAUAGCUUUCGUACAUCCCACAGAACAUCCCAAAAACACUUUAGGGAUUUCAGAUCUGCUACUGCCAAACAUACCAUUCUUCAGAGCACGCAAACCAAGAGCACUGUGCAUGACAAUGAGGAAAGAACCAGAUCUCUCCUAGCAAGUGGACAGCUGUGGCAGAACUAGGAGUCAUGGAUCGCCAGGGACGUGGCAGGAGCCUGCAAGGUGUACUACAGCUGAGAACAGUCACUGGGAACACAAGAAAGCAAGCCACAAAACAUGCUGACUACAGUAUGAGGGUUCUCAUCCUGAAAACAUACUGCACACAUUUUGCACUGAGGAUUAGCCCUGCUGAUAUAGUUAAGAACAUUUCCAACAUUUUAACUUAAAGAUAAUUUCAUAGUUUGCAAAUUCAGGAUCUGUGCUACCUGCCUGAAUGCUCACGGAGGAUUUCCUGAGGUUUCAUUCAUAAAAAAUAUACAUAUAAUUUUUAGCUACCCAGUGAAAACAGUCAUAUUCCUAUGCAUGGAGUAUUUCCAAAUCUGCCAACUUCUCUUUUCCUUUUUCAGUGCAUUCUCUGCAUUAAUCCAGAAAAACCCAUCCAGCAGUAUUUUAUUCAUGCCUGGACAACAGUUCAGAUCCUUAAGUUGGAAACUGUUGUUGAAAAAUGUUGUCUAGUGCCAGCUGAGCUUCUGGAAGGGCAGGGAAUUCCCCACUGAAAGGGAAAGGCACUGCUUUCAGACCUCCCCUCCCUAUCUGCCUCCAGGAAGUGAAGCUCAUUAUGUUUCCCCUGGACUUCGCAAAGCAGAAUCAUCAUCAUCUUGUUUUGUAAAGUAUGUUUUGUGUCAGGUUAACAUUACUCAACUUCUGGGAUGGUUGAAAACACAGAGAGAAUGCACAAAGGACUUUACGUUCCAGAAGCUUCUCCAUUCAAAUCUCUGAAUGCACAGAACAUAGUCAGGGUUAUUAUAGGAAACUAAAAACUAAUGAGUCACUUCUUUAAUGUUAGUGUUGAAUGUAUACUGCAGUUUGUUCAUACAGGAAAUAGUCUGCCCCAGACUGGAGCCACGAAGGAGCAGAUGUAGUUCAGCCAAAGAGACACUGACAUGUAAGCAGUUUCUGUUGUGCCUGAAUUGAGACUGAACAACAAAACACACAGAGAUUCUGCUGUGCUUUUUAGCAAUGGAGAGAAGCAGCCUUCCCUGCAAGAAGUAAUGGUGGGUGGCCUCAGCCACUCCUCUGGGAAUAGAUCCUGGAUACAGAACUGAAGCAUCUCAGAACUAUGCUGGUUCAUGCAAAGCACUGCAAGUCCUCCACACAAGGUAACUUUCUCCGGAACAGAUGUCCUUUGUGGGUGCACACCAGGCUGCACAUUUGCAGUUUAAAGGCAUUGUGGAACAGUUAGAUCAUCUGUGUGUGGCUGACUGCAGGAAGGAGAGUUGUGUCCAUCAUGAACUCACUCUCUUCAUUGCUGUCUGACGCAAGUGUCAGCUGUACAUCAAAUGGGAACUAAUGCAUGUAGACUGGGAAAACGUGAGAACAAGGAGAGCUCCCAGUGUCCCUACCUGGAGGCAUGGCCCAUCCCAUUCAAUGGUGAGGCUGUUCCCUUUAAUUGGUCUUUGUUUCUUCUGAACAGGAAAGGCUUUUAUUUAACUACUUUUAGUAUUCACUGUGCCAGAUUUCUUUAUGGUACAAAUUGAGCUCUAUAUUUAAAGAACUGUUAGGAAACCAAUUCCAGGAUAAGACUGAAACGCCAUCUCGUUGAUGACUUAUUCUGCACGCAUCCAGAAACCCAACAUCAAAGCACUCAAGCUGGCAUUACACUUUCAGCUACGCACUCAGCUUCAGAUGGGCCAAAGGAGAGGUUAAUCACCAGAUAACACAAUUGUCCUGGGAAGUAUUCCAGCAUAUGCCUGUUGCUAAGUGCCAGUACAGUUACCUCCUGCUUGAGUUCCUGCUGAAAGCUUUCCUUCCUCUGUCCCCACUGCCUGCUGCUCUCCCAUCCUGGACCUUUGAGUGCACAGCCUGCAGGUUUACUGCCCUGAAUGUGCCAUGGGCUCUGCCCCCCUGCCUGGGAGGGCAGUGAAGUGCUGCUCAGGGUGCGGUGAACAGACAGCUGUGUCUGGGGGCUUAAUAAUAUGAUUUCAUGUUACACAUCAAACAAGAAUGCAGUAAUUCAGCAACUCUAUUUUAUGCAUCUAAAGGAAACCAGAUGAAGCUCUGCAAUUUUUUUUGAAUCUCCAGAUUCCUUCUGCAAGUCACCUCAUUUCCUAAGUAUUUGUGUUCCCCAAGUCCUCUGCAGAUCAGAAUCUAAUAAGCGUGCAUACUUGCUUGGUCUUUUGGUUUAGACUUCUCACGAAGCUCCAGGUACCCUUUACAGACAGAGAAAACACCGUCUUAGGAGCAGGGCGAGAUUCACUUACAAAGCCCCAGCUUUAACCCAUCCUGCCAAGAUACAUCCUCAGUAGCUACAGCAUGCAAUAAUCCACAGUUAGUUAUUCAGUGGCACAGGGCCACAUAGACCACAAAUACUGCUGUAAUGCUAUGAUGCGAUGGACAGCACAGCAAUAAUAGCAGGGUGGCAAAGUCUCUGGCUACAACAAUAGAAGACAAGCCCAAAUACAGCAGCCACAGGCACAAAAACUAAAGAAGAAACUUUGCUUACCUUUGAAGGCCUCAGGUACGCAGGGAUCUCCAGUAAGAUGCCCUUUCCUCCACUGCCAACCCUUAAAUGAGGUCUGGGAAGGGGUGGAUCCUGGCUCCAGCCCUUCCAUUACUCAGUACAUUGCACACAGCUGAGCUCCUCUGGGUUAGCCCUGCCUUCCCACCAGGUGCUCCAUCACUGCUUCAAGCUGUGACUUAGCAUUUCUGCUACAGCUGCAUUCUUAGAGAACUCGACUGCUGGCUUUCACUUUAGCAGAUGAGUCAGUGGACCUCACAUGCCCAUUUCAUACAGCCAGGCAAAUGCUGUAGUACGUUCAAGUUAAUACUUAAACAUGCAUCCUAGUUCAUCGUGUCUUGCUUUUCAUAUACAUGUUCUUUUGUUAAUUGUUAAUAAUAUUGUUGUUGUUAAAUUCAUUAUUGCAUUCAAUCAGAUACCUUAACCCACCGUGGAGUUCCACUGCCCACACAGUGUAAGUUUACUGGACAGUGCACACUCCAAAACAUUUCUCCUUUGAGGGCCAGACCCCCUGAAAACCUUUUAGUCCAGGUGUAGCUGAACCAACACCAGAAAGACUACGCUAAAACAGCUAUACCCUAUGGGAAGCAGAAUGGCAAUGGAGAACACAGACCUUCCUGUGCCCAUAGGCACGGCACUGCCAGCAUGGCUGGGGCUGAGCUGCGGUGCUGGAGGACCUCCAUGACAGAGGCAGGAAGCCCAGAGGUGUUGGAGGUGUGCCCGUGGCCAGACAGAAGCUGCAGGCCUUGCCUGGCUCUUAGCCUGUGUGAGCUAGGGAGUUAAUGGCCUCAGAGGUGCAUCGCAGGCAGGGUUCAGCUUUGCAAGGACUCAGGAACAGAGGAUUUGCUGCAGGUGGCUGGAGUGCAGUGACUGGCAUCCCACCAGCCUAGAGACAGUAUGGGUAAUUAUGUCAGGCUUAUUGUUAAAUCAGCAUUUCUGACUGGAGGCACUGAAAAGCUAAUUUGAUGACUGCAUCUCUCCAGAUCCCAGGUUUAUGUUAUUAAUCUCUGCAAUUGCCUUGCAUUUAUGUCUGUGGGUAGCAGAUGUCCUUAAGGCAUGAGUAUAGACAGUGUACCAGAAAGCUGAAGAGCUUGAAUUUCCUGCUCCUCAUAUGCUCUCAUGGCUUGAAUACUGAUGAGAGCCCAUGCUUGACUGGUGAGUGUUUUUCCUGUGUCUGAGGCAGCCGAGGAAUUCAGGACACAUAUAACACUGGGGUGCAGGCUGGGGCAGGAGUUCAGUUUAGUGAUGGCUAGGGAGUUCAGAUAAUUCCUCCAUUUUACUACGCUGACUGCUGUAGGAUAAGGCCAGAAGUAAACAACUGAGUUUUCAUUAACCGGUAUACAACAAGAGGCAGGGUGAGUGGCUGCAUCUCAGUUAGGACUUCUGGACUUAAAGCACUGCUCAAUUUCAUCUGUGCUAAAGCUUUUUUAAAUGGAAAUAAAAGAUGUCACUGGGAUGCGGACAGCUUGGGGUAGGUUUACUCUUAGGAUCAGAGAUCUGGAAUAAAAGAGCUGGUGACAGUUCAUUGGUAGCCCUUGCUUGGCCUCUGCCAGUGACAGUGGGGUUUCUGCUUGGUUGCUGAUUGCUCUCAUUUGUGUCCCAGGGCGCAAUGAUUUCCGUUAUGUGUAGGGUUAGAGUUAAUAUUUUGAGUUAUGUGAGAUCUGCAGAUCUUGUUUUAUGAUUUGCUAUAUGACUGACUGCAUCAGAAUUAAGAACAAAGUAUAAGGGAAUAACGAGCUUUCGUCUGCUCCAAGGCUGGGAGUCAGCAGGGUAGGACCACACUGGGAUUAGUAUGAGGAUUAACGAGAAAUUCAAGGUUGGAGAUGAUGAAGGACUCAGUUUGUUAUCUGUUCGUACAGGUUGGCCUGUAUUUUCUAUUGAGAAAUGUGUGCAUGAUUUCUGUCUGACUCUCGAGGAGGUAUCUGUCCCUUAGGGCUGGGUACAGCUGUAGGCCAUGCCUUUGGUCAGACAUGCAGAUUCUUCUGGACCUUUCCCAGCUCUGCUAUGGUUGUUUUCAACAUCUGCGAUGGCACAGAACUCCAUGCAGCAUUCAGAGACACAAACGUGUAACAGGCUGACGUGGUGGCACGGUGACAACAUCUGGCUCCUUCCCCAGUUAUCCCUAACGUUGCAUUCUGUUGUUGAAUGCUGAUUUGCAAGAUUCCUCCCUGGGCUGGCGGUUCCACUCAGAAAUGGAGUCACAUUGAGGCUUGCACGGCCACUUGGCCACCUUCUAAAUAACCUAAAGCCCUUUAAGGAGCAUGGCCUGGAGAGUCAAAUGCAUGUAGUGUACCAGGACGGCAGCACAAAACAUCGGCACCUCAGGAAGGUGAAGUCUGGCAAAAUGACAACUUGUUCUCCAUCAUUUUCGUUGCGUUUUUAUUUUUUUCAAGCCGUGACCAGCUGUUGCUCAGCCUUCUUCCCACACGGUUUGUUCGCACUGUAUGCCAGCUCGCCUUCCAGCGCUGUUUGCGUCCCUCUGCACGGAACCCUCGCCUCAACUCUCCGACUGCCACGGCGGAGUUUUCCGCGUACAAACGGACCUCGCGCCACAACCGCCCCCGGGGAGCGGGUGGGGACGGCGGCGCAGAGAGCGGCAGCGCCCCCUGCCGGCCGGCGGCUCUCUCUGCGUCUCGCGGAGUCGCGCGCAGCGCUCGCGGCGCGGUGCUGAGGAGCCCGCGGGUAACGCAGAGCACAGGACGGUCUCCGACGCGUGGGCGAUCUGCCGUGCUGACGGGCCGGGGCUGUGCAUCACCUCCGCACUGCGCUGCCUCUCCGUAGCUGUUAACUGAAUCUCAUUCUUUUUUACAG
ensembl:lncRNA